AAGACCUUGCACUUUUGGAGCGGCCGAUGUCUGAUUAGCUAGUUGGUGGGGUAAUGGCCUACCAAAGCUUCGAUCAGUAGCUGGUCUGAGAGGACGGCCAGCCACACUGGGACUGAGACACGGCCCAGACUCCUACGGGAGGCAGCAGUGGGGAAUUUUGGGCAAUGGGCGCAAGCCUGAUCCAGCCAUGCCGCGUGAGUGAAGAAGGCCUUCGGGUUGUAAAGCUCUUUCAGCCGGGAAGAAAAGGUUGCGACUAAUAAUCGCAAUUCAUGACGGUACCGAAAGAAGAAGCACCGGCUAACUACGUGCCAGCAGCCGCGGUAAUACGUAGGGUGCGAGCGUUAAUCGGAAUUACUGGGCGUAAAGGGUGCGCAGGCGGUUUUGUAAGUCAGAUGUGAAAUCCCCGGGCUUAACCUGGGAACU
rnacentral:rRNA from 1 species